CCUCUCUGAGCGCGUGCUGAGAGGACGAGAGCACAUGGAAGUCACGUCGAGAUUAUUUUUUCGGCCACUUUGCUACAAACAAGACAAAAGAGGAUUACAAAGGUGCCAUUUUUAAAGCAGGAGAAAGACUAUGACACGCUGCUUCAAGAAAGGGACCGGUGACGGGAUGCAAAACGUGGGCGUGGGAUUCGGUUUUUGUCCCGGCUACAUGGAUCGUGCGUACUCUCACUCGAGUAGCUAAGAUGGUGUGACCUUCUUCUUACCUGCCCCCACCCCCCCCACACCUCCCAGACCCGGCCAACACGGGCGGCGGCAUUUUUCACACCACAACUUGUUUUUUUUACACAGUCCAGAAGUGAGACCCCCCCUCGCACCUCUCUAUUGACUUCAGCGAGGCGGAACGCUUCCCAUAACUUCCCUGCAGCAGAGUCAAAACGAGGGUUUAAAAAGGAAAAAAAAAGUUCGGACAUGCAGCAGUGUCCAUGUGAGAAGACAACAGAUGAAGCCGCGAUGAAAAACGACGAUGUUUGUGGAAGAUGACAUGUGCUUAUCACCCCCUACAGGACUGGAGUGGAACUGCAUCACAUGAUAGCUCUUGGAAGGACAUCUCCGACUCCCUAUGCCCCCCUCCCAGCUGCAGGCUGACCCCUCGGCCCUGCCUGUGCGGUCCUGCCUCACUGCUCCUGUCUACUGGCUCUCUGCUGCCCCCUAAAGCUCACAAGAAGCAGAAAUAUUCCCAUGAUGUCGCUGGGCUGGCGUGCUUCUUUGAACCUUUUGGCCAUUCACACGCAUUCCUGGCCCAAUGGGAGCUGUCACUUUGCGUGGACAUUGUCCCCCUCCAGAGUGCGCGGCUAUAGGCGGCGUCUGAUGUCCACUCGGGGCCACUGAAUGGCCAAACAAUAAGACCCCCAGCGGCUCCCUCUCUCUGUGACCCGCCCGGGCUCUGAUUCGCCUUGGCAAGGGGGACAGAGGCCCAAAACAAAGCUGAAGGAGUCUCCAGCGAAGGGGUGCAAGAGGUCAGGCCCAACGCCCUGCUAACAGGCCCGUCCUCUAGUUUGGGGAAGGGACAGCGAUCCCGGGAGACAAUGGGAUAAAAGGAACCUCCAAAGGCAUUAAAUUCUGAGGAAGUGAUGGCCGUGAAUGAUGACAGAGGCAGAAUAGACACUCUUGAGGUGGGAGGGCCUCUCUUCUCCGAAACCGGGGGACAAUUCCAGUUGGACGCAGGAAUCCCGCUCGGGCCUCCAAAAGACCCCCUACAGCGCAACGUGACACCAGCCGGGGCCCCUCCGAGCCAAGCUAAGCUAUGCCAAAGUCAACCCGAAAGGAAAAGACGGGCGAUGCAUCUCAACUCUGCAGUGCAGGGAUGCUGCAGAAGGACACGCCCAUCCGCACGGAUUCCUCCACGUGGAAAAACACGAAGACGUGGGAAAAAAAACCAGGAUGAAAAGGAUGCUGCAGGAAUGCUGCAGGACACGCCCACCUACAGGUAUUCCUCCUCAUGGAAAAGCAUGGAUCAGGGAAAAACUGGAUGAGAACGUAAGUAUGAAGCAUUGUUACCCUGACCAAACCAUCCCCUGACCAAGACACACCCACAGAUCUCCCGGCCGACCGUCCAACGCCGACCGUCCAACCGCCCAACUGAGCCUCGCCACGCCCCGACCGACAGACUCCUCAACUGACCCCCGACCAACCGACUCCCCUCACCCCCGACAGACACACCCUGACUGAUUCAUUCCCCCCACCGACUGACACUACCCUCAGACUGACUCACUCCCCCGACCGACCGACACUACCCCCGACUCACCCUUUCCCCCCGACUCACCCUUUCCCCCCGACUGACUCCCCCACACACACACUCCCCACACCCCCCCCCACACACACACUCCCCACACACACACUCCCCACACCCCCCCCCACACACACACACACUCCCCACACCCCCCCCCCCACACACACACUCCCCACACCCCCCCC